CACACCUUCACCUCCAUUUGACCUACCCAAGUCACCUCUUCCCACAGCAGCAACUUCCUCCUCCCUCCAGGCAGCUUCCAACCCCGGGAGCAGCCACGUUUGUGUCUCUCGGCUCUGCACACGCUGUCUGGCACCUAAACAUGCCCUGACUCUAAAACUAGACUCUUCCCAAACGCAGCCCCUCCAUGUCAAAGUGAGUGACAUUCUUCCCUUCCGGUUUGUCCCAGACACAGCCUGACUGUGUCCCAUUCCUACUCCCUGCCAGCUCUUACCUCUGUCCUCUGCUCACUCAUCCCCAGCGCCAGUCUCCUCCCCCUGUCGUCCUCAUCUGCCCUGAAGUGAUCUUGGCAGACACUUGCUAGGAAGUGUGAGCCGCUGAGCUCCUUGCAUCCACUCAGAACACACACUAAUAAAGUUAACUUUCCCAUUUUCAGAAGAGGAGACUGAGGUACAGACAAUUAAGUGACUCAUCCAAACAGGGUUGUUUUCUUCUACUCCCAAGAUCCCAACCUCAAGAAAGCAAGAGAAGUGUGCUUGAGAGGAGAUUGAGAAACAGCAGGACCAGGCCAAUGGUGCAGCCUGCAAACCCACUGCUGAGGCAAGGGAACCUUGAGUUUCUGACCAGCCUACAGAGUGAGACCCGGUCUAGCAAAGGAAACAGAAGCAGCAAGGAGGCUCAGAGGCGGGCACUUGCAGCCCAGCCUGAUGACUUGAUUCCAAUUCCCAGAAUCCGCAUGGCGUGAGGAGAGAUGAACUCCCACAGACUGUCCUCUGACCUCCACCUGUGCGCCAUGACACUCAGGCCACAGGAAGUCCACUGAGCUCACUUCCUCCCCGAAUUGACUUCUAAAGGAAGUUGUUCAGCCAUGCAGGUUCCUCUCCAUGCUCAGCCCUCCCGCCAGUCCAGGAAAUGACUGCGUGGAUGGAUGGGAGCUGGACUCUGGACAGGACACAGGACCUCAAGUCAGGUGAUGCCAGCUGCAUGCAGAGACCUCCAUUUGAUGCUCAGUCUGACCCUGCAAGGUUCUUCCACGUUAUAGGUGAGGAGACUAAGGCACAGAGAGGUUAAGCUACCUCCCGGAGGACACACAGAGAGCUACAGUGCAGAGACUGCUACGCCAGUUUUCCUCUUACCAAAAUGUCUAGAAUCUUCUUGCCACAGACAUCAACAGAAUGGCGGGUUGGAUUUAUGGCACCUGGGCUUCCCCCUACCACGUCUUCUGUCUCCUUCCUGCUUUGCUUCCAGAGUCCUUACUUGUCACCUCCCUCUCAGCUGCUCUAUCUGGGUGAAUGACACCCCUUCGCAGGUGCACAUAGGUUUAAAUCCCUGCACAUUUUCCAUGCAGUGAAUGAUCUCAGACUGCUGUAAGGGGCUCUCCUCACAGCCAGACUGUGGCCAUCUUAAUGAACUCAGGUGUGCCCACUCCUGAGCCCGAUGGAGCUGUGAACUUGGUAUUUCUUCCCAGAAUGAGGGGCAGGGAAGGUCACUGGACCCUCAUCUGAGUAUCCAGCCAUUAAGGUGUGGUUUUCUCUUACCUACUCAUGGCAGGUGUCUUAGUCAGGGUUUUACUGCUGUGAGCAGACACCAUGACCAAGGCAACUCUUGUAAGGACAACAUUUAAUUGGGGCUGGCUCACAGGUUCAGAGGUUCAGUCCAUUACCAUCAAGGCAGGAGCAUGGCAGCAUCCAGAACAGGAAGAGCUGAAAAAUCUACAUCCUCAUCUGGAGGCUGCUAGGAGAAACCUGACUUCCAGGCAGCUAGGGUGAGGGUCUUAAGUCCACACCCACAGUGACGUGCCCAUUCCAACAGGGCCACACCUUCUAAUAGUGCCACUCCCUGGGCUGAGCAUAUACAAACCAUCCCAGCGGGGAACUUCAGAAUGAACUAAAAGAUAUGACUGGGAAAGAAUAAGGGAAGAAGAUUCCAUUAUGUAUGUGACUGGAGGAUGCCAUCAUCCAUACAGGGCAAAGACUUUCCCAUUUGGCUGAUUUGGGGUCCCCCUGCUCUCGUAGGAAGCCCUUCAUCCAUACUCUCUAAGCCCAAUAAACUUACUAGCUGCC